CACCAGGCUCUUUUCAGAGCCACCAUACCUCAAGCUAAAGUCAAUU
rfam:Operophtera brumata OBRT01_Sc04003, whole genome shotgun sequence.